rnacentral:rRNA from 1 species
GGAGGAUGCGAGCGUUAUCCGGAUUUAUUGGGUUUAAAGGGUGCGUAGGCGGAUCGUUAAGUCAGUGGUCAAAUUGAGGGGCUCAACCCCUUCCCGCCAUUGAAACUGGCGCUCUUGAGUGGAAGAGAAGUAUGCGGAAUGCGUGGUGUAGCGGUGAAAUGCAUAGAUAUCACGCAGAACCCCGAUUGCGAAGGCAGCAUGCCGGCUUCCUACUGACGCUGAGGUUCGAAAGCGUGGGUAGCAAA